rnacentral:rRNA from 1 species
CCCCUAGACGUUCUGGGCUGCACGCGCGCUACAAUAAUACGCACAGCGAGUAUCACCGAGCUCGAAAGGGCAAGGUAAACAAUAGAAAAGGUACUGUAAUGGUUAUAGAUCCUUGUGAUUAUUGAUCUUCAACGAGGAAUUCCUAGUAAGUAUGUGUCAUCAUCACGCACUGAUUACGUCCCUGCCCUUUGUACACACCGCCCGUCGCUCCUACCGAUUGGGUGAGCCGAUGAAACUCUCGGAUGUAGGCUAUUCAUAGCCCGCAGAAGAGAUUUGAAUCGUAGCGCUUAGAGGAAGGAGAAGUCGUAACA